CAAGCCCUGGAAACGGGGUCUAAUACCGAAUAUGACCACUGGGCGCAUGUUCUGGUGGUGGAAAGCUUCGGCGGUGCAGGAUGAGCCCGCGGCCUAUCAGCUUGUUGGUGGGGUGAUGGCCUACCAAGGCGACGACGGGUAGCCGGCCUGAGAGGGCGACCGGCCACACUGGGACUGAGACACGGCCCAGACUCCUACGGGAGGCAGCAGUGGGGAAUAUUGCACAAUGGGCGGAAGCCUGAUGCAGCGACGCCGCGUGAGGGAUGACGGCCUUCGGGUUGUAAACCUCUUUCAGCAGGGAAGAAGCCUUUAAAAGUGACGGUACCUGCAGAAGAAGCACCGGCUAACUACGUGCCAGCAGCCGCGGUAAUACGUAGGGUGCGAGCGUUGUCCGGAAUUAUUGGGCGUAAAGAGCUCGUAGGCGGCGUGUCACGUCGGAUGUGAAAGCUCGGGGCUUAACCCUGGGUCUGCAUUCGAUACGGGCAGGCUAGAGUUCGGUAGGGGAGAUCGGAAUUCCUGGU
rnacentral:rRNA from 1 species